rnacentral:rRNA from 1 species
ACCAGUACCGUGAGGGAAAGGCGAAAAGAACCCCGGCGAGGGGAGUGAAAAAGAACCUGAAACCGUGUACGUACAAGCAGUGGGAGCACAGGUUUACCUGUGUGACUGCGUACCUUUUGUAUAAUGGGUCAGCGACUUAUAUUCUGUAGCAAGGUUAACCGUAUAGGGGAGCCGUAGGGAAACCGAGUCUUAACCGGGCGUUAAGUUGCAGGGUAUAGACCCGAAACCCGGUGAUCUAGCCAUGGGCAGGUUGAAGGUUGGGUAACACUAACUGGAGGACCGAACCGACUAAUGUUGAAAAAUUAGCGGAUGACCUGUGGCUGGGGGUGAAAGGCCAAUCAAACCGGGAGAUAGCUGGUUCUCCCCGAAAGCUAUUUAGGUAGCGCCUCGUGAAUUCAUCUCCGGGGGUAGAGCACUGUUUCGGCUAGGGGGCCAUCCCGGCUUACCAACCCGAUGCAAACUGCGAAUACCGGAGAAUGUUAUCACGGGAGACACACGGCGGGUGCUAACGUCCGUCGUGAAGAGGGAAACAACCCAGACCGCCAGCUAAGGUCCCAAAGUCAUGGUUAAGUGGGAAACGAUGUGGGAAGGCCCAGACAGCCAGGAUGUUGGCUUAGAAGCAGCCAUCAUUUAAAGAAAGCGUAAUAGCUCACUGGUCGAGUCGGCCUGCGCGGAAGAUGUAACGGGGCUAAACCAUGCACCGAAGCUGCGGCAGCGAACGUAUCACCCAAGACAACUUUACGGAGUUGACGAUUGACGGAGCGAAGCGACGUCAAAGCGUUCAUUAAAGUCGAGUUGGCUUAGGGAUACGUUCGUUGGGUAGGGGAGCGUUCUGUAAGCCUGUGAAGGUGUGUCGUGAGGCAUGCUGGAGGUAUCAGAAGUGCGAAUGCUGACAUAAGUAACGAUAAAGCGGGUGAAAAGCCCGCUCGCCGGAAGACCAAGGGUUCCUGUCCAACGUUAAUCGGGGCAGGGUGAGUCGACCCCUAAGGCGAGGCCGAAAGGCGUAGUCGAUGGGAAACGGGUUAAUAUUCCCGUACUUGGUGUUACUGCGAAGGGGGGACGGAGAAGGCUAUGUUGGCCGGGCGACGGUUGUCCCGGUUUAAGCGUGUAGGUGUGUGUUCCAGGUAAAUCCGGUUCACUUUAACACUGAGGCGUGACGACGAGGCACUACGGUGCUGAAGCAACAAAUGCCCUGCUUCCAGGAAAAGCCUCUAAGCAUCAGGUAACACGAAAUCGUACCCCAAACCGACACAGGUGGUCAGGUAGAGAAUACCAAGGCGCUUGAGAGAACUCGGGUGAAGGAACUAGGCAAAAUGGUGCCGUAACUUCGGGAGAAGGCACGCUGACACGUAGGUGAAGUGAUUUACUCAUGGAGCUGAAGUCAGUCGAAGAUACCAGCUGGCUGCAACUGUUUAUUAAAAACACAGCACUGUGCAAACACGAAAGUGGACGUAUACGGUGUGACGCCUGCCCGGUGCCGGAA